UACGUAGGGUGCAAGCGUUAAUCGGAAUUACUGGGCGUAAAGCGUGCGCAGGCGGUUAUGUAAGACAGGUGUGAAAUCCCCGGGCUUAACCUGGGAACUGCGCUUCUAACUGGCAGGCUGGAGUGUGGCAGAGGGGGGUGGAAUUCCACGUGUAGCAGUGAAAUGCGUAGAGAUGUGGAGGAACACCGAUGGCGAAGGCAGCCCCCUGGGCUAACACUGACGCUCAUGCACGAAAGCGUGGGGAGCAAACAGG
rnacentral:rRNA from 1 species